rnacentral:rRNA from 1 species
AUUGAACGCUGGCGGCAGGCCUAACACAUGCAAGUCGAACGAGUGGCGGACGGGUGAGUAAUGUCUGGGAAACUGCCUGAUGGAGGGGGAUAACUACUGGAAACGGUAGCUAAUACCGCAUACCAUCAGAUGUGCCCAGAUGGGUUUAGCUUGUAGGUGGGGUAAUGGCUCACCUAGGCGACGAUCCCUAGCUGUUCUGAGAGGAUGACAAGCCACACUGGAACUUAGACACGGUCCAGACUCCUACGGGAGGCAGCAGUGGGGAAGAUUGCACAAUGGGCGCAAGCCUGAUACAGCCAUGCCGCGUGUAUGAAGGAGGCCUUCGGGUUGUAAAGUACUUUCAGCGGGGAGGCGUUACCCGCAGAAGAAGCACCGGCUAACUCCGUGCCAGCAGCCGCGGUAAUAC